CAUUGUUGAGAGAGAGUUGGGCAAUACUGAGGAGGAGAGGAGGUUAGUGGAUGAAGGUUUGAAACGCUUCCCUUCAUUCUUCAAACUCUGGUUGAUGCUUGGGCAGCUUGAGGAACGGCUUGGUCACCUGGAAAAGGCAAAGGAAGUUUAUGAGUCAGGUUUGAAGCACUGUCCGAGUUGUAUACCCCUUUGGCUUUCUCUUGCUAAUCUUGAAGAGAAAAUGAAUGGGCUGAGUAAAGCACGUGCUGUACUUACCAUGGCAAGGAAGAAGAAUCCUCAAAACCCUGAGCUCUGGCUUGCUGCUGUCCGUGCUGAAUCAAGGCAUGGGAAUAAGAAGGAAGCUGAUAUCCUGAUGGCAAAGGCUUUGCAGGAGUGUCCUAACAGUGGCAUAUUGUGGGCAGCAUCCAUUGAGAUGGUUCCCCGUCCAC
rnacentral:misc_RNA from 1 species